rnacentral:tRNA from 1 species
GACUGUGUAGCCAAGCGGCAAGGCAGCGGACUGCAACUCCGCCAGCGCAGGUUCGACCCCUGUCACAGUCU